GUGGGUCUCCGUUUGGUCAUCCACUCCAACAAGGAUUUGCAACUGGUCUGUUAUUGCAGCUUAAUGGCCAUGAUCACGGGACAGAAGCUAAUGCAGACCUAAUGCUUGGUGCAUCAAGGGAUCACAUCCUGGUUGGAAUGGCUGCAAACUUGCGAGAUUUUGUACUAACCAAUUCUGACGGAAAAGAGGUAAAAGGUUCAGAAGUUCUACUACAUGAUGGGAUACCUGUUGCAUAUGCUUCAUCCCCCACAGAAACUGCUAACUAUGUUUCUGCUCAUGACAACGAAACCUUGUUUGACAUU